GCUGUAUAUCCUGUCGUGGCCUGGUGAACCCAUCUCAAUAGCUCUCUUUGCCCAUAAGUCUGCAGACUCGUUUCCAGGAAUGCCACAAUGGCCUGGGAUCCAUCCGAGUACUAUUUUUAAUCCCUUUGAUUCACAUUUUCUUAAUAAGGUUUUGAUCUGAAGUAUCAAGGGGAAUUUUGCCUUCAUUUUAAACUGGUUGCCCAUAAUAGCUUGCAGGCAACUCCUGCUAUCUGUAAAAAUGAUCAUUUUUGCUAUAUUGUGAGAGUCAGCGUAUGCUACAGCUUCCAAGAUGGCAACAGCCUCGCCUGUGAAAAUGGAUGAUUGAGGAGGACAUUUAAACAUCAAGACAAUGUUAUAUUUUGGAAUCACCACUGCUGCUCCAACACAAUUUGCAGGAUCAUUUUUUGAUGCGUCAGUAAACACAGUGACCAAUGAAGCAAGAGCCUGCAAGCGUGUAAUCAGCAAGUGAUUGGAGUUGGAGAUAGCUCUUAUGAGGAACCUGUCAGCAAGAUAUUGUCUACGCAGCACCAGAGGAGGCUCCACACAUUCUACUUGCAUGGCAUUUUUUGGGGAAGAUCUCAUGGCACCAAAUGAGGUUUUCCACUCAUUUUCCGAUCCAGGAUGAUACCCAGGAAUUUGGUUGACUCUUUAUUGGGAAUGCUUUCUUCACCAUAAUGAACAUCUGCAGUUGGCAUGUUCCU